rnacentral:rRNA from 1 species
CCUACGGGUGGCAGCAGUGAGGAAUAUUGGUCAAUGGACGAGAGUCUGAACCAGCCAAGUAGCGUGAAGGAUGACUGCCCUAUGGGUUGUAAACUUCUUUUAUAUGGGAAUAAAAUGUUCCACGUGUGGGAUUUUGUAUGUACCAUAUGAAUAAGGAUCGGCUAACUCCGUGCCAGCAGCCGCGGUAAUACGGAGGAUCCGAGCGUUAUCCGGAUUUAUUGGGUUUAAAGGGAGCGUAGGUGGAUUGUUAAGUCAGGUGUGAAAGUUUGCGGCUCAACCGUAAAAUUGCAGUUGAAACUGGCAGUCUUGAGUACAGUAGAGGUGGGCGGAAUGCGUGGUGUAGCGGUGAAAUGCUUAGAUAUCACGAAGAACUCCGAUUGCGAAGGCAGUUCACUGGACUGCAACUGACACUGAGGCUCGAAAGUGUGGGUAUCAAACAGGAUUAGAUACCCUGGUAGUC